rnacentral:rRNA from 1 species
UGGUGGGGGAUAACGUUCGGAAACGGACGCUAAUACCGCAUACGUCCUACGGGAGAAAGCGGGGGAUCUUCGGACCUCGCGCCAUUAGAUGAGCCUAGGUCGGAUUAGCUAGUUGGUGAGGUAAUGGCUCACCAAGGCGACGAUCCGUAACUGGUCUGAGAGGAUGAUCAGUCACACUGGAACUGAGACACGGUCCAGACUCCUACGGGAGGCAGCAGUGGGGAAUAUUGGACAAUGGGCGAAAGCCUGAUCCAGCCAUGCCGCGUGUGUGAAGAAGGUCUUCGGAUUGUAAAGCACUUUAAGUUGGGAGGAAGGGUAGUAACCUAAUACGUUGCUACUUUGACGUUACCGACAGAAUAAGCACCGGCUAACUUCGUG